UCUCCGUAGGUGAACCUGCGGAGGGAUCAUUACAGAGUUCAUGCCCUACCGGGUAGAUCUCCCACCCUAUGUUAUUAUUACUUUGUUGCUUUGGCGGGCCGUUAGGCUCCGGCCCGACUACCGGCCCCGGCUGGUAAGCGCCCGCCAGAGGACCCAAAACCCUGAAUAUUAGUGUCGUCUGAGUACUAUCUAAUAGUUAAAACUUUCAACAACGGAUCUCUUGGUUCUG
rnacentral:misc_RNA from 1 species